CGGACGAGAGGCUGUAAAGCGAGCGAUCCAGCCCAAAAAAAACCUCCAGCUCCGUCCUCCGGGGUUGUCACGCACUUUGCCGCAAAGCGCUGCUCUUUGAUCGUGCAGGUGGCCGUCCCCGUCUUUCGGCCACCUUAUCGCAACCACUGCUGGUAUCUGUAUUUCUCUUGGUCCCCGUCGACCUUCGCUCGCUGGACAAAAGGGCGGCUGCUGCUGCGGCCUGCCCCGCCUACUCUGUAAAGGCAGGUGGCGUCAAGAAAUCCUCUCUUUUCGAGGCGAAUUGCUGCCUGCUCGCAAGGGAGCGGAUCACGGAUGUACGAACAAGACACUCGUAGAUAGAUCAGGGACCGACCAAUAUUGGAGAAGCAGCUUUAGCCACCACGACCAGACCUAGCUAGUAGCAAAUAACUGUAGUAAAGAGCAGUUGUCACACUCGCGAGUGACAUGUCAGCUGACAGGGGCGACCGUGACGCGCGCGGCCGAACGGGGAUCCGUCCAUAUAUACACAGAUUGGUUGCCCUAUCGCGGAGCAUAUUGGCAAUGCAGGAAAGCAAAAAAGAAUCAAUCAAGGGCUGGAGCGUGGCGAGAAGGAGGGAGCACAACAUCUUGGCCGUGAUCAGAAAGGAAAGGCCCGGCCUACAGACUACAGUACAGAGGCCGGCUACAAGUCCAACAGGGCGCCGCGCGCGUCUCCGGGGGACCAAGGGAAGCGGCGCGCAUGCAUGGACCGGCCAAGCCAACACACAAGACAGAACCGGCGCGUCGAGCCACGGGAUCGAGGCGAUCGAGACGAGAUAGUAGAUGGAAAACGGAGCCAAGAAACAAAGCGCAAUCCUUGUUCCAGAGGCGUUGGCUCCUCUGGACAAUGUCCGGACCACCGGCCUCGCCUCGGCCCCCAAACACCAUAAUGGAAUUCAUGGAAUGCACGGAGCGGCAACGACAUGAACAUUGCACAUUCUCCUGGAUCUCGGGCGAGAAGAAAAUCAAUCCACCCCCAAUGAUCAGGAUGAAUGAUCAUCUCGCAUUCUCGCCCAACAUGUAAUGUUCUGAACUUCUGAUUGGACCUCGAUCAGCUUUGACUAGACCUUAUAUGUCUGCUGAUGAUGGAUAGGAGAUCGAUGCUCCUGUGAGACAGGGGAAGCAUCAUGUGCCCAACCAUGAUUUUGUUCGUGUCCACGGCUCAGGGCUCUAAUCUACAUCACGCACACUAUAUAGAUACUGGGACGGAGAAAGGAUAAGGUUUUUGAUUGGCAUGUGCUAGUAAUAACAGUUCCUCCAACAUGAGCUUUCUGUUUCGAGGAACACUGGAGCUCCAGGAAUGGCAAGAGAAUGUUGGGUGUUUUUGUUCUGAACGUGAUGUUGCCAGAUGUUGUUGCACAGGGACGGUUCACCCGUAGACCCUGUAGUUCUAAGCCGAAGAUAGUAGGCCCACUGUCUAUACACACAAAAGACGUGGACGAAUGACAAUUGAGAUUUGUCGUUGAUGGCGAUUUAAUUACAGCUUCAGGGCCAGAAUGACGACAUGAACUACGUACGUACUAUUAGAGGAGUACUACUUCUUAAUGACAAGGAUGUGACAACAAUUGGACGUUUGGUGCAGUAUUUUCUUUAGCUUUUCAAGGCUACUUUACGUAUGUAAUAUAUAAUGAUUAAUGAUUUGAUCUGUGUA